rnacentral:rRNA from 1 species
AUUGAACGCUGGCGGCAGGCCUAACACAUGCAAGUCGAACGGUAACAGGAAGAAGCUUGCUUCUUUGCUGACGAGUGGCGGACGGGUGAGUAAUGUCUGGGAAACUGCCUGAUGGCGGGGGAUAACUACUGGAAACGGUAGCUAAUACCGCAUAAAGUCGCAAGACCAAAAAGGGGGACCUUCGGGCCUCUUGCCAUCGGAUGUGCCCAGAUGGGAUUUGCUAGUAGGUGGGGGAACGGCACACCUCGGCGACGCUACCUAGCUGGUCUGAGAGGAUGACGCGACACACUGGAACUGAGAACCGGUCCAGACUCCAACGGGAGGCAGCAGUGGGGAAUAUUGGAAAAUGGGCGCAAGCCUGAACCAGCCAUACCGCGUGAGUGAAGAAGGACAUCUGGUUUUCAAGCCCUUUUGUUGUGAAAGAAAAGAAGCAGGUGAAUACCCCGCUGUUCUGACGGUACCCAAAGAAUAAGCACCGGCUAACUUCGUG